CGGUAACCAUUUGCCAACGGAAAAUAUUUUUAGUUGCGUGUUCGUUGAUGGUUGUGCUUAUCAUAUUUCUUGUGUAAGAAUUACGGUUCAGUUCUUCAGGAACCAUAAUCGUUCAGAUCAGCAAAAAAUUGCUCAGUUUUGGUGAUGAUUUAAUUCAGUAUUUUUAGUCUAACAUUAUUAUCUAUCAGAAGGAAAAAAAGAUGGCUGACGUGAUGUCAACGAAAAUUUAGCUCCUAAUAAGAACGAGAAAAAGGUGGUAAACGGGUGUUAUCAUUGUAAGAAUAGUGUCGUCGAAGUAGUGAAUUGUAAAAAGUGCGUUAAUUGCUUCCACCCGUCGUGUUUAGUUCAGUCUUCAAAGCAGAAAAACCCUGAAUGUAUUCAUGACGCCGACAAGGUUAGAAAAAAGAAAAGUACGAAUAUCAACAAGGAAGAAGACGAUAUGGAAAUAGAGCUUCUGAGAAUGCUAGUAAAAGAACUUCAGAGUAAGAAUCAGAUUUUAGAAGAAAACAGCAAGUUAUUAAAAGAAAAAGUAAUUUUUCUAGAAGAAAAAAUGAAAAGUAACAAAAAUAAAGAAUUCGCCCAUACGGCGCCGUCUAGUGGUGGACCGAGCAACAAGAGUACCAGCAAAGUAAUUGUCAAACCCGCGCCGCCUAAGGUGCACAGUACCGAAAUCACGAAUCCUGGAGAUGUGUCUGAUAUCGUUUCUCACAUCGAGAAUCGAUCAUCCAAUGUCGAUGUUAGGCGCAAUACUAAUGCUGACGAAAAGGGGAAUGGGUGCAGGUUAGGUCUAAACAUAAACAAACAAAGACUGUUUUCAACACAAAGCGCCCGGAGCCUCUCAGGGGACAGAGUGAAAAUAUUUCCAACCUGAAGACAGUAAUGAGAAUUGCAUUCUUGUUCCUGUCCGGUCUAGCACCUGAAGUGACCUGUGAUAAUGUUUCGGAUUUUCCUAAAGCGAAUAACCUACCUGAAAACUGCCGAUGUGAGAAAAUGAAAACAAAAAACCUAAAAUACUGCAGCUCUUUCCGACUAGCAGUGCUGGAGCUGGAGGAUGUACAUACAUAUUUGACAUCUAGCUUAUGGCCAAGAGGAUCAGUUAUAAACCAUUUUCGGAAUCUACAGAACCAAAGCAUGGUGACAGCAAUCCAUCACAGAAAAACAUAAGAAUCCUCAACAUUAAUGUACGUUCAUUGAGGAGGAAGACUGAUGAAAUCGAAGCUUUUGUUGCAGACAGGGACAUUGACAUCAUUUGUCUGACGGAGCACUGGCUGACCAAGGAAGAAUUAGAGGUGAUCCAAAUACAAGGGUAUUCACUUAGUGGUUUCUCCUCGAGAAGUGAGUCAAUUGGUGGUGGCACUGCCUUAUUCACCAAAUAUUUUUUACCUUCCAAAGAUGUCAAUGUGGGUUUUAAUGUUCAAAAAUAUCUCCUUCAGGCUGUUUUGACACUUUUAGAGAGUUGCUGGAGGGCUUGCUUACAAGGUUGGGGCCUGGUAAGCGAAUGGUGAUAGCAGAGGACUUUAACGUUCAUUUCAAUACCAAUGAGGCUGCUUAUGAACAGCUUAACUUGACUGACUUAACUGACUCACUGACAAACGAAACUUUUAUUUUCUACAGCAAUUGCUCAAAUUGUCCCCCGUUAACUUCAAUACAUUUUGAAAUGCGUUUGAGCAUUAAAUGCGUCUAUUUAAUUAUAAUUAAUGCGUCUAUUUAAAAAAAAACAGAUUUUCAUUUCGAAAUCAUCCGGCGGCAUUCAUAAUUUUAUUUAUCAACUUAUCUCGGGUGCCUACCGUUUGAUCGUACACUAAUGAUUUUAAAUAACCCCAAACACAAAAAUCUAAUGGGUUAAAGUCAGGACUUCGCGCCGGCCAAGCCCAAGAACUUCCACGACCUAUCCACCGAUUUGUACAAUGUUGGUUUAGGUGUAAAAUGGCAAGGAUGGAAAUUUUCUUGCUGAAAAAUCCUAUGAACUGAGGACUUGCUUAGGCCAGUUGCAGUUUCCAAUCGUCUUGUGCUUAUUUCUGGAUUUUCUCCAACACGAACCAGAACGCCUUUCUCUUGAUCUGGAGUUGAAAUUUUCGGACGUCCCAAGGUAUUAACUUUAGUCCUAAAGUUUCCCCUAAUGAACUUUAGAUGUCUCCAAAUAACUUGAAAUUCGGUUGCCUCCUAUUGGGAUACAAUUCUAAGUAACGCAGUUUGGCACUGCGUCCACUAAAAUUUUGCUGAACUAAAAAAUUAUACCUUGGCAUGUUAACUAAUUGAAAUCGAAACUUAAGUAUGUAGAGGCACUAGUGUCACUUUGAUAGACACCAAGUAAAUCCGUGUCGCUGCGUCACACUACUUGACAUGCAUUGUAAAAUGUCCUCACAAUUCUGCAUUUUGCAGUUUAAUCGCAAAUAUUUCGUAAACAGAGGCUUGUUGGGAUAUCGACUAAAAAUACCUUUUUUGUGAAAAAUUAAUAGGCGAUUAGACACAAUCAUUUUAGAAGUCAGCACACCGGGUGACCAAAAAGUUAAAACCAUUUUUUUGCCCAGAUAUCGCCGCAACUGGCUUUUUCUACAAGUUGAUCAAAAUCUGAUGGUACAUUUGGGUUUUGUAUGCUCAAAUACCCCUGUGUACCAAAUUUCGUGAAAAUAUGCAGCUCCGGUCAAAGUAAAAUAACCACAAGGUUCAGUUGACAAAGAAGAUAUUGAUGCAGGAGUAGUUAUAGGUGGCUCAUGGCAUCCAGAAAUCGAGUCACUACCAUCACUCACUCAUCUAAGAGUCAAUAAUUACACCCAAACUGCAGGCUUUCUGCGUGACGUAUAUGUAUGCUAAUUACUUUCCUGGACAGGGCUCCGUAACUUGGCAAAACAGAAUGACUGGAUUAUAAUGAAAAAUCUAUACUGAUGUUAUUAUUUCGCAAGUUCAAGUGCCUCGAGGCUUGAUAAGAGGGGUAUAAUAAUAAAUUAAUAAAAAAGUUUGUGUUGUUACAGUACCAUACGUACCAUGUUGUUGGUAGAAGUUCUGCUGAUUGUUGCAUUAUUUAAAAGAGCAUCAACUCAGGUGUACCAAAUCAGUCUUGGUUUAUACAAGUCAUCUGUACCGCUUCCACUUUUCUUUGAUUUUAAAAUUUUAUUCAAUUCUUUCCGGUAUACUGUUUUCAUUGUUUUUAGUUUAAUUUUUAACGUCAUCAAAUCGGGAUUUGCAAAUCCCUCCACAAAUAACAAUUCUCCCAAGAAUUUUGCGAAUGCGGUAUCUCUUUUAAUAUUAUUCAUGUGAUCUUUGCUCUCAUCUCAUGUCUAAUAAUACUUCAUAUUUUUCAUAAACAUUCAAAAAUUAAAUAAUUAGAUCACUAUUUCAUUUUUUCAUUUUGCUAAAACGCUUUUCCAAAUCACUUUCACACAGUUUACGCGUAGACCAGCAAGUAGACACAGGAAAGGCGGCCACUAAACCAGCCGGCCUUCCAACUUCAACUUGCCACUUCCCGGCAAGUAACAAGGACCCUUUCCGUCGGUUUACAUACGUCAUGUUUACUAGCGGCCAGAACUUUCCGCCAUCAAAGUUACCAACUAUAAACGAUCCUUUACUCCCUACUUAUAUGGGGACAUGCCUCUUCGGCUUCCAGAAUCUUCUCACUUCCCAGAAUAGCUGUUGUUGUGGUGGAUGGCCUGGAAUAUCAGGAGGAUUUCCGUCCGGCGUUUUGUUGGCUAAAUAUUUUGACUUUGCCCAGUCUCUAUAUUUUUCAAUGUCUGGUCCACGUUAAAUCUAACGAAAGCUCCUAUAUCGGCUUGCCAAAGUCCAUCGACAUGGUACUCGCACCAACAUCAAUAUAGUACCUGAUUUUUACAGACUUAAUAAAACGAAGACUGGAGCCAACUAUUAUGGUCCUAAGGCAUUUAACUUGCCACGUGGUGACAGAGCAUUCAAUAGGGCAGUGCUGUGAGUAUCUUUAUUGGAGAAAAUGUUUUUACUCUCUUGAGGAUUACUACCCCACUAACUUUAAUUUUAAAGUUUUAGCUUGCAACUAAGUUGUGACACGUCAAUGUUGAUUUGCUUUAGGUGUUAAAAUUUUAUUUUAAUAGCUAAGUCACUUGUCAUUUCAUAUUGCUCCCUACUGACAAAAUAUUCGGAUUUUAAUGUAAAAAAUCUAAUCCAAUCUAAUCUUGUGACGUGUGUAAACAUAUUUGUAUGUAUUAACAUUAGUAAAUUAUUUGUACUUUUUUGUAUUAGUAUGGUUCCCCAACUGGCUUUCCGUGGUGGCUCAAUAAUGUUUUGAGGUGGCAUUCCUUUGGAGGCCUGUAGGGACCCUAUGGUAAUUCUAAGUAGAUCAGUAAGAUUUUAGAAAACCAUGUCGUACCUUUUGCACCUCACAUAGGCGACAAUUACUUUAUGGAUGAUAACGCCAGAUCGCACCGAACUCUGAUCGUUUAGUUUUAGUGUGGCCAGCUGAAACGACCCUUUUGAUACAAUUUAUUCGACGACAAGAUCCUACUCCUGAGAACUUGACUGAACUGGAAAGCGCGGUUCUUCAAGAAUGGCACAACAUACCUCAAGAAUUAAUUACAAACCUUUUUUAUGGCAUGUGAGACCAAGGCGUUUGAGGGACGUUAUUGGAGCUGGAGGCGGCAAUACAUGCUAUUAAAUCGGUUAAAGCCGGAAACUUUACCUAAAUUUCAAAAUUUAUUUUUCAUAACUUUUUACCAAGAAUCUGAUAAACUUGUGAUUCAUGUUUUGUUUUAAUUUUUCUUUCGAAAAUUUUCUCAU